AAUCGAUAAAUUUUAUCUCAAAGAACUGUAGGAGUCGCGAGAGUGUUCUUAGGCUCCAUGCGUACAUCGGAUACUGGUCAUUCAUCAAGUUUAAAAUCUGUCUUUGUCGGUAAUUACGGCAAACAUAAUCUUGCAGGUCCCCUUUCAAUUCCACAUCUUCUUUCCAAUCCUCGUUUCGUAUGCCCUCUGUGACGGCGGCCAUCUUUGUUUCAAGAGUU